GACGGUGUUGGCCGGUGUUUGACUCUCUCUCCCCACUUCCUCUCCGGUUUCGGUGUCUCUGGCCCGAGCUAACUUCGUGAUCAGAGAGAUCGAUUCAGCUCUCGGCCACAGAUAAGAUCAGAUAUAUUUGGUCCUGAUAUGGAUUUAGAAUCAACGGUUCUGAUUUUAUUUUUAAAAUCUAUAAAUUUAUUAUAUCAAAUUUGAAAUUGAA
rnacentral:lncRNA from 1 species